UCCUAGAAACUAUUUUUCUUCCUGCUCCUCUGACCACUCCUUCUCCGUUUUCUUUGCUGAAUGAUCAUCAGCAUCAUAUUCCCUAAUUGUGGAUCCCUGAGGUCAGGAGAAGCAAAAUAACUUCCUCCAAUCAAACAGCUGGAGAAUGGCAGAGUUGAAACUUGAACCUAAGUUUUCGGAGUCCCAAAUUCCAUGUUUUGCCACUACAGACCACUCUACAUUUUAUAUGGUGAAUGAGUAUCUGAAAACAGGACAGAUCAAAUUAUAACCUUGUGAGUUUCAAAAGACGGGAAGAGCCAUCAGAGGUCCAGCAAAUGGAAUUAUUUGCAGAAACUGCUGAUAACAGCAGCAGCAGCAGCAGCAGCAGAGUUUGGAAAAGAACCAGCUCUGAGAAGUGACUUCUUCCACCCAGCCUAUCAAGGAACUGAACCAUCAGCUCUUCCACAGCCAGAAGUAAAUUCUGUGGGGACUCUGAGAAGAAAGGGAAAAGGGCUUCUAUGGCCAAUCUGCCCCCAGUCCCAGUUGGGAUAGAGAACAUUUUGUAGAAAUCACUUUUGAGUCCACUCUCUCCAGAACUUGGUUAAGGAACUGUGCUGGUGUAUAAAAGAUAGAGUGUAAUCCUUGGUUUGGAGGAUGUUGUGCUUGGUCUUUGUUAUAUCUUCUCACUAAAUAUUCUUUUGUAAUAGUUUUUUGUUUUUGUUUUGUUUUUGCUGAGGCA